UCUGAGGGUUGGUUUGCUGACGCGAUAGCAUGACCCUCAUCUUCUAGGUCGUCUCAGCAGUCGAUUCCUACUCUUACCAUGUGGGGCCACUUCAUGGGUCUACACAGACUCAUUUUGCUCCUAUCACCAUACCGCUGCCAUUGCAGUACUAUCGGAUGAUCACUGGCCUAUCCGGAGUACUACAAUCAUCAGUACCCUCCUAUAGUAGUCACGCAACUUCGCACAGUGGUUUUACAGGGGUGGCUCCCUACAUAUUGCGGG
rnacentral:lncRNA from 1 species